AUUGAACGCUAGCGGGAUGCCUUACACAUGCAAGUCGAACGGAGUAGCGAACGGGUGAGGAAUGUAUCGGAACGUGCCCAGUAGCGGGGGAUAACUACGCGAAAGCGUAGCUAAUACCGCAUACUAUUGGAGCGACCGAUAUCGGAUUAGCGAGUGGGUGGGGUAACGGGGUACCAAGGCGACGACCCGUAGCUGGUUUGAGAGGACGAACAGCCACACGGGGACUGAGACACGGCCCAGACUCCUACGUGAGGCAGCAGUGGGGAAUUGUGGACAAUGGGGGAAACCCUGAGACAGCCAUCCCGCGUGUGCGAUGAAGGCCUUCGGGUUGUAAAGCACUUUUGGCAAGAAAGCGUUACCUGCAGAAUAAGCACCGGCUAACUACGUGCCAGCAGCCGCGGUAAUUC
rnacentral:rRNA from 1 species